rnacentral:rRNA from 1 species
GAUGGCGACCGGCGCACGGGUGAGUAACACGUAUCCAACCUGCCGAUGACUCGGGGAUAGCCUUUCGAAAGAAAGAUUAAUACCCGAUGGCAUAGUUCUUCCGCAUGGUAGAACUAUUAAAGAAUUUCGGUCAUCGAUGGGGAUGCGUUCCAUUAGGCUGUUGGCGGGUAACGGCCCACCAAGCCUUCGAUGGAUAGGGGUUCUGAGAGGAAGGUCCCCCACAUUGGAACUGAGACACGGUCCAAACUCCUACGGGAGGCAGCAUG